rnacentral:rRNA from 1 species
CUUGUUGGUGAGGUAACGGCUCACCAAGGCUUCGACGGGUAGCCGGCCUGAGAGGGCGACCGGCCACACUGGGACUGAGAUACGGCCCAGACUCCUACGGGAGGCAGCAGUGGGGAAUAUUGCACAAUGGGCGCAAGCCUGAUGCAGCAACGCCGCGUGCGGGAUGACGGCCUUCGGGCUGUAAACCGCUUUCAGUUCCGACGAAGCGCAAGUGACGGUAGGAACAGAAGAAGGACCGGCCAACUACGUGCCAGCAGCCGCGGUGAUACGUAGGGUCCGAGCGUUGUCUGGAAUUAUUGGGCGUAAAGGGCUUGUAGGCGGUUUGUCACGUCGAAAGUGAAAACUCAGGGCUUAACCCUGAGCCUGCUUCCGAUACGGGCAAACUAGAGGGAUGCAGGGGAGAAUGGAAUUCCUGGUGGAGCGGUGGAAUGCGCAGAUAUCAGGAGGAACACCGGUGGCGAAGGCGGUUCUUUGGGCAUUUCCUGACGCUGAGAAGCGAAAGCGUGGGGAGCAAACAGGCUUAGAUACCCUGGUAGUCCACGCCGUAAACGGUGGGCACUAGGUGUGGGGAACAUUCCACGUUCUCCGUGCCGAAGCUAACGCAUUAAGUGCCCCGCCUGGGGAGUACGGCCGCAAGGCUAAAACUCAAAGGAAUUGACG